rnacentral:rRNA from 1 species
AGCAGCCGCGGUAAUUCCAGCUCCAAUAGCGUAUAUUAAAGUUGUUGCAGUUAAAAAGCUCGUAGUUGAAUUUCGGGAUCAAAUUGUUGGUCGUGCCUCGGUACGCACUGGUAUUAUUGGUUCCUACCUUCUGAAGAACCGCGAUGUCAUUAAUUUGGUGUCGUGGGGAAUCAGGACUGUUACUUUGAAAAAAUUAGAGUGUUUAAAGCAGGCUUACGCUUGAAUACAUUAGCAUGGAAUAAUGAAAUAGGACGUUUGAUUCUAUUUUUGUUGGUUUCUAGGAUUGACGUAAUGAUUAAUAGGGAUAGUUGGGGGCAUUAGUAUUCAAUUGUCAGAGGUGAAAUUCUUGGAUUUAUUGAAGACUAACUACUGCGAAAGCAUUUGCCAAGGAUGUU